rnacentral:pre_miRNA from 1 species
AAAAAGACAAACCCUGGUUUUCGUAUCCAAUGUUUGACCGUCCGUCUUAUUUGAAAAAAUUAUAAAAAAAAUUAAAAAGACAAGUCACGCAUAAAAUAUUAAUCAUGUUUUAUCAUCUAACAACAAUGAAAAUACGAAUUAUAAAAAAAUUUCAUAUAAGACGGACAGUUAAAGUUGGACACGAAAACCUAGGGUUUGUCUUUUU